AGGUGUUGGGUAGAGAGGCUCUGACUGGCCGCUGUUACUGGGAGAAGUGUGUUUCUAUGGGCCCGUUGGCUGUGUCACCGUCAGCAGUUACCAGGGACCGUCCUGCCGUCGCCUCUACCCACCACGGGACCACCACCCUCUCCGGCUACCCACCACGGGACCACCACCGUCACCGUCAGCAGGUCAGAGCCCCCUCACAGCUCCACCCUUUUGAAAUAGAUCUAUCUUUAUUGAAGUGUAUUCACCCUGGAGGCCUACCUACACCAAUCGCACCAACACCACACAGCCACA